rnacentral:misc_RNA from 1 species
GAUGAAGAACGUAGCGAAAUGCGAUAACUAAUGUGAAUUGCAGAAUUCAGUGAAUCAUCGAGUCUUUGAACGCACAUUGCGCCCCCUGGUAUUCCGGGGGGCAUGCCUGUCCGAGCGUCAUUGCUGCCCUCAAGCACGGCUUGUGUGUUGGGCUCCGUCCACCCGGGGACGGGCCCGAAAGGCAGCGGCGGCACCGAGUCCGGUCCUCGAGCGUAUGGGGCUUUGUCACCCGCUCUGUAGGCCCGGCCGGCGCCAGCCGACAACCCAUCAUCCUUUUCAGGUUGACCUCGGAUCAGGUAGGGAUACCCGCUGAACUUAAGCAUAUCAAUAAGCGGAGGA